AAACGAGCCAAGGAAGAGCUAGCCCGGUAGUGGCGAGAUCAGCUCACUUUCAGUUGAUUCAUCUUGUCGGUUGUGUACCGAUAAACUGAAACACAAAAUACCUACUGCAGUUCUCUCGACCAGAGAUUGGAAUCCACAAACCCAGCGGCCUCUGGCCUCUGCUUGGACCACAAGUUUGCGCGGCGUCACGCUGCUGGCUCUGAGUUCUGACCUCUAUGGGUCACAGGUUACGACCCUGGCCUCCCGCAGCUUGGGAGCGGCGCAAUUCCUGCACUGGUAGCUCGAGGUGAAGCCAAUGACGGGUGCGGCAGCGAAGCUAUCACAGAACUAAAUAAUAAAAACUUGUGUGUGAUAGCCGAAAAAAGAACGGCGGGUGGCACGAGUUUGGGUACAAAAUUGAUUCCUAAGUUUUCGGUACCCGACUUAGCGUAGUGCUAAGCGUUACUUUUGAAUGUAUAAUGUAUAAAGAUCAAAAGUUGUUGGUUUUAUUGAGCUCUUGAGCCAUAACAAGACCCUCUCCCCCACGCCGAGUUUUAUUCAAUAUUUUCACCGUGCGGUCGCGUCUGGCGGGCUGUGGUGACUGGCGGCGCCGGAGGCACCUCCAGCCCGUGGAGGCCGCACGGCGCCGGUCGGUCGGGCUCGGCCACCGGCUCAGUCCACCGUACCAGCUCGAGACAUGAGGGGUGCGCCCGGAACGGCCGAGGCGACAAGGACCGCUGCUGGCAGACGAGAGGAGGUUGACAGGAGCGGCCAGGUUACCAGGUGCCGACUCGCAGUUCGGAGAACAUGUCCCAGACGAUGAGGGUGCAACGGCCACUGCGCUGCAGUGACUGUGACAUCGACUUUCCGAAUCUAUGGAUGAAAGCUCUUCAUGACGAAAAGGACCACCCUGACUGGUCAUUUCAUGGCACCAAGCGCUCACUGAGAUGCCACCAGUGUUCUGCCAAGUUUGAUGACCCGAAUAUGCUGGAGGAGCACAAGCAGAGGCUUCACAACACGGUUCGAGGGAAGAGGUUCUUCGACUAGAAGACACCGAAAAUCCCGGAUGCAUCCGUUCGAUUUUAUGAACACAACCCCACAGCUCAACUAUGGAACAAACAUACAGUAUUCAAGACCAAGUCGUCCGCUGGUAAACUCAGCCCGAUCACAAUACUACAUGACCCAAUUUUUAGGGUUAAGAACUAACAACAACAUCGACAGGGCGGUAGGUUUGAUUAUUGACAUAAAUGUGGUGCAGUUAUCCCAGUAGUUGACGUACUCGUGUUUGUCCCUAUAUAAAUGGCGAUGAACGGUCGACUAUAGAUUCAUGUCAUUAUGUCGCUUAUGCCGGCGCUGCAGCUUACUUUCUCAGCGAUACAUUGGACCGAAUUAUGAUUUCUAAUUACAAUCCCUGAUGCGAGCCUCGAGCUCGACGGCGACUGCAAACUGUCCCGCUCGGCGUGAUGCAGGUAUCUUAUAGGCAUGCUAUGCAUUAUUCAUAAUAAUUAUAAUUACCAUGAUAGCAUUACAUUUUAUGCAUUUUUGGUAGGCAUUUCUAAAGAGGUGUCGAUGGUUAUCUUGGCAUGUCCUGCACCGCACCAAGUGUUUCUGUUUGACUUGGAACGUUAUAUUUUCCAGCAAAGUUAUUGUCCGAUUAAUGGACCGAAACUAUUAACGUAGUGUUAUCAACGCUUCUAUAGAUAUCUAUCUACUAUUGUUUACCUACAUAUUCGUGAACUACUUGCCAGCAUGCAAUACCCGGUAUUGAUAAAACAAUUUGUUCAUUUUCGCUUUAGUGGACAAUAUCUACAAGGUCACUUAUCGCAAAUAUAAAGUAACCCACUUGUCUCGUGAGUUGCAUUGUAGAAUGUCAUUUAUUCUGAUUCCUCUGUUUAGCUCUGGCCUGUCAAGAUUUCGCCCUGCUGUUCGUCUUAUUUUUCUCUUAGGUUGGCAGCGAGGUUUGCAGUGGUGACGUAUGACCUCGAAUACAUGAAUAAGUAAAUACAUACCUAUCACAAACGGGAUGUCCCAUUCGCUUAGCAUUAUAAUCCAUAGGUAUGUAAUACGCAUUACUCUGCUCAUGUAUCCCCGGUAAUAUACAUAUCAUAAGUCUAAUUCUAUAAUGUGCCUGGAUCCUGCAGGAAUAGGUACAUACAAUUUUAUAUGAUGGACGUACCAAUACAGGUAUACGAAUAA